CAGGACCACGCCAAUAUCUCGGACAUCAUGGGGAAGAAGACUCCAGACAUAAAUUUCGAACGUUUGUGGGUCUCAUGGGUAAAAGAAGCUUUGAUUAAAAGGAGCCAUGUGAGCCGCACAGAAGACUGAAGAUCUGCCUUUUGUUUUUGUUUCAAUUCCACAUGUUUGAUUUUUUGUUUUUGAUUG